CAAGAUGGCGGCCUCUCAGCGGCAGGGGAGCGGAGAAAAAGAGUGUGAACUUAUAUCUUUUUACGCUCGUUGCCCGUCGAUGGCAACAUUGCCCAGCAACAUUGCUCAAAAAGUUGCCCCGUGUAUCAUCACCUUAACACCUUACGACGACGCACAGCUCACAUCUCUGUCGCAGUAGUUGGGACAUACUGUAAUGGAUGGUAGGCGAUGUCAUAUCCCGUCCCUGGACAGGUGUUUCAGUUUGCGAAUGAGGAAAUGGGAUCUUUACACCCAAUUUGAAGUGAAGUGAGUGUGCGUUUACAUGGAGGAUAUCCCGUGACCCCAGCAUAAUGACUUGCAGACUACAGGUGGGCUCGCUCCUGAGUGGCACUGAUGGUCCCUAUAAACACACUUUAUCACACUCCUCUCCUCUCCUACAGGCUCUCUUAACUUCUGGAUACUACUGAUGUGUCAGCAAACCAUUUAAGUCACAACAUUGAAAAUGAAAAGUUUAACAGGAAUGUUGUUUGCAUCUUUUAGAUGAAAAAUAACCUUACAAAUAGAGUUUUGUUUGGAAUGCAAAGACUUAGGUUCAUGCACAGUUUGGUUAUGAAAGACAUGAUUGAAAAUCACUUUCUAGGAGUAUGCGUCGUACGUUGCUCGUUUCUGUCAACCUUUGUCAGUUAAUAAAAUGUUUAAAAAUAGCUGUGGUGUGAUUGCCUACUGAGCAUAGGCCGCAUAAGAAAAAAAAAUGUACUGUACAAAGUUUUGGUCAGAUUUUUUGUUUGUUUUUGAAAAGAAAAAAAGAAGUCUCUU